GCAAGUCGAGGGGUAACAGGGAUUGCUUGCAAUCCGCUGACGACCGGCGCACGGGUGCGUAACGCGUAUGCAACCUACCUUUUACUGGGGGAUAGUCAAGAGAAAUUUUGAAUAAUACCCCAUACGAUCUGAUUCACUCCUGUGAAACAGAAGAAAAUUUCGAUGGUAAAAGAUGGGCAUGCGUCCUAUUAGUUUGUUGGUGAGGUAACGGCUCACCAAGACUACGAUAGGUAGGGGUCCUGAGAGGGAGAUCCCCCACACUGGUACUGAGACACGGACCAGACUCCUACGGGAGGCAGCAGUGAGGAAUAUUGGACAAUGGAGGAAACUCUGAUCCAGCCAUGCCGCGUGCAGGAAGACGGCCCUAUGGGUUGUAAACUGCUUUUAUACAGGAAGAAACGUUAGUACGUGUACUAGCCUGACGGUACUGUAAGAAUAAGGAUCGGCUAACUCCGUGCCAGCAGCCGCGGUAAUACGGAGGAUCCAAGCGUUAUCCGGAAUCAUUGGGUUUAAAGGGUCCGUAGGCGGUCUAAUAAGUCAGAGGUGAAAUCCUAUCGCUCAACGAUAGAACUGCCUUUGAUACUGUUAGACUUGAGUUAUUGUGAAGUAGUUAGAAUGUGUAGUGUAGCGGUGAAAUGCAUAGAUAUUACACAGAAUACCGAUUGCGAAGGCAGAUUACUAACAAUACACUGACGCUCAGGGACGAAAGCGUGGGUAGCGAACAGGAUUAGAUACCCUGGUAGUCCACGCCGUAAACGAUGGUCACUAGCUGUUUGAUGCACAUUGGUGUGUUGAGUGGCUAAGCGAAAGUGAUAAGUGACCCACCUGGGGAGUACGCUCGCAAGAGUGAAACUCAAAGGAAUUGAC
rnacentral:rRNA from 1 species